UACAUGGGGUGCAAACGUUGCUCGGAAUUAUUGGGCGUAAAGCGCACGUAGGCGGUUCGUUAAGUCGGAUGUGAAAGCCCUCGGCUCAACUGAGGAAGUGCACCCGAAACUGGCGAGCUUGAGUACGAAAAGAGGAUCGCGGAAUUCCCGGUGUAGAGGUGAAAUUCGUAGAUAUCGGGGAGGAACACCGGGUGGCGAAGGCGGCGAUCUGGACGAUUACUGACGCGUGAGACGCGAAAGCGUGGGGAGCAAACAGG
rnacentral:rRNA from 1 species